rnacentral:tRNA from 1 species
GGUAUAUAGCUCCAUUGGUAGAGUACUUGCCUUGCAUGCACAAGGCCCUGGGUUCAAUCCCCAUCACCA